UACUAGAGCUCCCCGCUUCUGGCAGCGUC
rnacentral:sRNA from 1 species